CUGACAGGCCGCCCGCGGCUGCUCCAAGAGCGUGUCCGUAGGCAUGGCAGCCUGUUCUUCGGCAACAGCAGGGACACGCAGCCCGCUGCGGUUUGGAAAUCGCGCCCAGCCGCCAUGCACCGCGGUGUGCAGCACGCACGCUCCGCCUGCUGAGCUGACGCUGAAAGAACCCAGGGCUCUUGAGGCAGCAUUCCCAACAGUAAUCCUAAACAGGAUGUGGUCCUGAGUGGCACCAGGAGAGCAACCAUGACAUCAUGAAAUCACUGCUGCUUUGAUUGUUCCUCAUUGAUUCACUAAAAGACUAAUACCCCUGAGCCUCCAAGCCAAGCUGUGCAGCAUAAGGGAUGCAGAGCAGGUGGAGCCAGAGUUCAGAGAGGUCUUAUUAUAAUCAGGACAAAGUCACACCAAAUCAACAUUUUUAGACCCAAAGGAAAAACGUGGA